rnacentral:lncRNA from 1 species
AACACCUGACAUUUAAUUUUUAUUAUAGCAAAUAACAUUUGACCAUGCACAACAAAAUAUUUUCCAAACCUUCAUAUGUUCUACAAAUUUAUAAUCAGAUCUUGGUCUCAUUUUUUUCACAUAAAGUAAAUGCCAACUAAUGGCCAGCCAAGCAAAUUACACUUGUCCCUAGUACCACCUACAAGAGACACAAGUGGAGGCAUGCAUGCAAGCCUAACCACGCAUGCAUGCCAAUGUAAUGCCUCUCCAAACUAUAAAUAGGAGCCGUUCCUUUCAUUGUGGUCCAUUCCACCUCACACACACACAUACACCGGAGUAUCCCCACCACUUGCCUUUUCACCUUCUGCCACACUAUUUUCCUUCAUUGUGUUGAAGCCCUUUGGGCUGCAUGCGCCACCAGGUACUAAUCAAGUACCUUGUUGUGUUACCCUUUUUGCUUGACUUCUUAUCUAUCUUCACCUCGGUUUGAAUCAGUCCAUGAGCCUCUAUUCACCUCGAUCUAUUUACCUUGCUGUAAGAAGAACAAAAUGUUUGUGUAAACACCCAAGUUAAUCAAAACUAAUUAGAUCAAUUGCAAAAGCUUGUAAAAGUUUCUAUGAAUGACAUCUACGGCUGGUACUAGAUCUAACAUGCCAAGAAUCAAAUCCUAAGUACUAGUAACUUGCUAAGACAUGUAUGUGUGUAUCCAAAAGAUCAAUCUUCCUGUGUAUACUACCUUGUUCUAAUUAUUAAUCCCCGCCAAUCUGUAGCAAACAUUGAGUGAUUGAUGUUUAUAAUCUACUCACAAGUAAUUAAUUUUGGAGUUUCACUGCCACUAUUUGCUUCUAUAUGGUGUUCAAGGAUGAGUAGCACUAGUUAGGAACAACAUUUAGAUCUAAUCAGUAGCAAUACCAUGACCACGCCAUAGAUUAAAUCUUGAUUAAUUUCGUGGCCUUGAGAUAAACAAAGAGAAUGAAGGCAAUAUGGCUGAGUGGGCAGUAGUAGGGCCUGAGAUAAAAUGAACAAUAUAUGCACACCCACGUUGACAUCUAGCAAGCACUUGAUGUGAAAUUUGGAACACUUGAUGGAGAAGGAAUUAGAAUUAGUACUUACCAGUAGUAGCAGCAGAUUGUGGCUAGUCCACACCGUUAGCAGCAGAGCCAUGUGACCGAGCAGCGCCGGUGAAGCCGCACACGCCCGACGCCCGUGGUUGCACGCCUCGUGCGUGUGGCUACGCUGGGGGAGGAUAUAGGCAUGGAGACGUCAUUGCCCUGCAGCCGGUGGCAAGCCCACCGGACCUGAAUUAGGCGGCGGUAGGAUUGAGUGGUGGCGACGUUUUUGGCGGCGGUGGAUAAAGUAAAUAGGGGGAAAUGGUAGAGGGAGACGAGGAGAAUCUAUAGGUGUACACCGUGUCGCCGGAGAUGCCCGGAUGGGGCAGAUCGAGGCGGCGGCGGCCAUGCUCUGUUCUUAGGGAGAGAGAGAGAGAGGUGGAUGGUUGGUUCUGUUCUUGGGAUAGCAGAGAACACGAGGAGAGAAAUGAGCUGGGUUCAACGAGUAAGAGCAUCUCCAGCCGCCCCCAACAGGCCCUCCAGGCGACUUUUUCAGUGCCGGCGCCAAAAAAACGUCCAAUCGCGCCCCCAGGACGACGAAAAGUGCCGGUUCAGCCCUUUUUUCCGCCCGGCGGCCACAGGUCUUACCCGGCGCACUGGGGGCGAUCGGGGGCUCCGGCACAAGGGAAAAGCGCGGCUGGCCCAUGUCGUCAGGUGAAAAGUCAAGAUUUUCUUCCCCGACUCGCCUCCCACCCCUCCCCCCUCCCGCGCCCUCGGCCGCCACAAGCUAUAUCCCGGUGCCGCCCCGCCGCCCUUCACCGCUAGAUAGCCAUUCCUCGCCGGAAAAAUAGCAGAGGUUCACCGCGGCAGCCCCUCCGACAGCAGUUGGGCGUUUCCGGCCGCCGUUUUCGGCCGCGGAGGGGCAGUUUAGCGGCGGGUGCAUGCCCACCGGGCGCAAGGUGUUCGGUGAUUUGCCUGCUUCGGCGAUGGACUCGGAUGACGAGGAAGCACUCGCCACGCUACUGGAGGAGGAAGCCGAGGCCGACGUCCAGGAAGAAAGACCAUCUCAUGGUGCUCGCCGCUGCUACGUCUUGAGCUUGUGUUGGUUUUCCUUGAAGAGGAAAGGGUGAUGCAGCAAUAGUAGCGUAAGUAUUUCCCUCAGUUUUUGAGAACCAAGGUAUCAAUCCAGUAGGAGGCUCCUCAAAAGUCCCACACACCUACACAAACAAACAAAGAACUCGCAACCAACACAAUAAAGGGGUUUGCAAUCCCUUCACGGCCACUUGCGAAAGUGAGAUCUGAUAGAGAUAGUAUGAUAAGAUAAAUAUAUUUUGGUAUUUUAUAAUAUAGAUGCGAAAAGUAAAGAUGCAAAUAAAGGUAGAUUGAAAGCUUAUAUGAUAAAAGAUAGACCCGGGGGCCAUAGGUUUCACUAGUGGCUUCUCUCAAGAUAGCAUAAGUAUUAAGGUGGGUGAACAAAUUACUGUUGAGCAAUUGAUACAAAAUCGAAUAAUUAUGAGAUUAUCUAGGCAUGAUCAUGUAUAUAGGCAUCACGUCCGUGACAAGUAGACCAACUCCUGCCUGCAUCUAUUACUAAUACUCCACACAUCGACCGCUAUCCAGCAUGCAUCUAGAGUAUUAAGUUCAUAAGAAUAGAGUAACGCAUUAAGAAAGAUGACAUGAUGUAGAGGGAUAAACUCAAGCAAUAUGAUAUAAACUCCAUCUUUUUAUACUCGAUAGCAACAAUACAAUACGUGCCUUGCAACCCUUUCUGUCACUGGGUAAGGACACUGUAAGAUUGAACCCAAAGCUAAGCACUUCUCCCAUGGCAAGAAAGAUCAAUCUAGUAGGCCAAACCAAACUGAUAAUUCGAAGAGACUUGCAAAGAUAACUCAAUCAUACAUAAGAGAAUUUAGAGAAGAUUCAAAUAUUUCUCAUAGAUAAACUUGAUCAUAAACCCACAAUUCAUCGGAUCUCGACAAACACACCGCAAAAAGAGUUUACAUCGAAUAGAUCUCCACAAGAGAGGGGGAGAACGUUGUAUUGAGAUCAAUGAAUAGAGAAGAAGCCAUGUUGCUAAUAACUAUGGACCCGAAGGUCUGUGGUAAACUACUCACAACUCAUCGGAGGGGCUAUGGUGUUGACGUAGAAGCCCUCCGUGGCCGAUUCCCCCUCCGGCGGAGCACCGGGGAACGCUCCAAGAUGGGAUCUUGCGGAUACCGAAGGUUAUGGCGGUGGAAAUUGUUUUUCAUUGGCUCCCUGGAUGUUUUCAGGGUACGUAGGUAUAUAUAGGAUGAAGAAGUACGUCGUGGCCGCUCGUGGGGCCCAAGAGACAGGGGGCGCGCCCAGGAGGAGUGGGUGCGCCCUGCUAUCUCCUGGCUGCCUUGAUUGCUUCUUGACUUGCACUCCAAGUCCUAUGGAUCACGUUCGUUCCAAAAAUCACGCUCCCGAAGGUUUCAUUCCGUUUAGACUCCGUUUGAUAUUCCUUUUCUUCGAAAUACUGAAAUAGGCAAAAAAACAGCAAUACGGGCUGGGCCUCCGGUUAGUAGGUUAGUCCCGAAAAUAAUAGAAAUGUGUAAAAUAAAGCCCAUAAAUAUCCAAAAGGGGUAAUAUAAUAGCAUGGAACAAUAAAAAAUUGUAGAUACGUUGGAGACGUAUCAAGCAUCCCCAAGCUUAAUUCCUGCUCGUCCUCGAGUAGGUAAAUGAUAAAAACAGAAUUUUUGAUGUGGAAUUCUACCUAGCAUAAUUCUCAAUGUAAUUUUCUUUAUUGUGGCAUGAAUGUUCAGAUCCAAAUGAUUCAAAAUAAAAGUUCAUAUUGACAUAAGAAAUAGUAAUACUUCAAGCAUACUAACUAAGCAAUCAUGUCUUCUCAAAAUAACAUGGCUAAAAAAGUUCAUCCCUACAAAAUCAUAUAGUUAGGCUAUGCUUCAUUUUCGUCACACAAAAAUGUUCCCAAAUUCUACACCCCCGAUGACAAGCCAAGUAAUUGGUUCGUACUUAAAUAAUCUCAAACUUUUCAACUUUCACGCAAUACAUGAGCGUGAGCCAUGGAUAUAGCACUAUGGGUGGAAUAGAAUAUGAUAAUGGGGAUUGUGUGGAGAAGACAAAAAAGGAGAAAGCUUCGCAUUCACGAGGAUAAUCAAUGGGCUAUGGAGAUGCCCAUCAAUUGAUGUCAACAUGACGAGUAGGGAUUGCCAUGCAACGGAUGCACUAGAACUAUAAAUGAAUGCUCAACAAAACAAAACUAGUGGGUGUGCAUCCAACUUGCUUGCUCACGAAGACCUAGGGCAAUUGAGGAAGCCCAUCGUAGGAAUAUACAAGCCAAGUUCUAUAAUGAAAAAUUCCCACUAGUAUAUUAAAGUUACAACCUAUGAGACUCACUAUAUGAAAAAUAUGGUGCUAUUUUGAAGCACAAUAUAUGAGACUCACUACAUGAAGAACAUGGUGCUACUUUGAAGCACAAGUGUGGAAAAAGAGAUAGUAACAUUGCCCCUUUUAUUUAUUUAUUUCUUUUUCUUUUUUCCCCUUUUUGGGCCUUUUUUUGGCCUUUCUUUUUUUUCUUUGGGACAAUGCUCUAAUAAUGAUGAUCAUCACACUUUUAUUGAUUACAACACAUGAAUUACAACUCAAAACUAGAACAAGAUAUGACUCUAUAUGAAUGCCUCCGAUGGUGUACCGGGAUGGUGCAAUGAAUCAAGAGUGACAUGUAUGAAAAAGUAUGCAUGGUGGCUUUGACACAAAUACGAUGUCAACUACAUAAUCAUGCAAUGGAAAUAUGACAAAAGUAAUGUAUGUCAUGAUGAUGAACGGAACGGUGGAAAGUUGCAUGGCAAUAUAUCUCGGAAUGGCUAUGGAACUGCCAUAAUAGGUAGGUAUGGUGGCUGUUUUGAGGAAGAUAUAAGGAGGUUUAUGUGUGAUAGAGCGUAUCAUAUCACGGGGUUUGGAUGCACCGGCGAAGUUUGCACCAACUCUCAAGGUGAGAAAGGGCAAUGCACGGUACCAAAGAGGCUAUCAAUGAUGGAAAGGUAAAAGUGUGUAUAAUCCAUGGACACAACAUUAGUCAAAAGAACUCAUAUACUUAUUGCAAAAAUUUAGAAGUCAUCAAAAACCAAGCACUACGCGCAUGCUCCUAGAGGGAUAGAUUGGUAGGAAAAGACCAUCGCUCGUCCUCGACCGCCACUCAUAAGGAUGCACAAGCCAGGUACACUUCAUGUUUCAAAUUUGUUACACAACUUUAACCAUACGUGCAUGCACCGGGACUUGCUAACUUCAACACAAGCAUUCUUUAAAUUCAUAAUCACCCAACUAGCAUGACUUUAAUAUCACUACCUCCAUAUCUCAAAACAAUUAUCAAGUAUCAAAUUGAUCAUAGCAUCCAAUUCACUUCCUAUGAUAGUUUUUAUUAUACCCAACUUGGAUGCCUACCAUUCCAGGACCAAUUUUAUAACCAAAGCAAAUAGCAUGAUGUUCUAAAAGACUCUCAAAAUAAUAUAAGUGAAUCAUGAGAGAUUAGCAAUUUCUACAAAAUUAAGCCACCGCCAUGCUCUAAAAGAUAUAAGUGAAGCACUAGAGCAAAAACUAUCAAGCUCAAAAGGUAUAAGUGAAGCACAUAGCAUAUUCUAAUAAAUUCAAUCAAGUAGGCUUCUCCCAAAAGGUGUGUAUAGCAAGGAUGAUUGUGGAAAACUAAAAAGCAAAGACUAAUAUAAUACACGACGCUCCAAGCAAAACACAUAUCAUGUGGCGAAUAAAAAUAAAGCUCCAAGUAAAGUUACCAAUGAACAAAGACGAAAGAGGGGAUGCCUUCCCGGGGCAUCCCCAAGCUUAGGCUUUUGGCUAUCCUUGAAUAUCUUGGGGUGCCAUGGGAAUCCCCAAGCUUACGCUCUUGCCACUCCUUAUUCCAUAGUGCAUCAAAGCUUUACCCAAAACUUGAAAACUUCACAACACAAAACUCAACAGGAAAUCUUAUAAGCUCCGUUAGUGAAACAAAACAAAACCACCACAUAAGGUAAUGUAAUGAACUCAUUAUUUAUUUAUUUUGCUGUUAAACCUACUGUAUUCCAACUUCUCUAUGGUUUAUAAACUAUUUUACUAGACAUAGAUGCAUCAAAAUAAGCAAACAACACACGAAAAACAGAAUAUGUCAAAAACAAAACAGUCUGUAGCAAUCUGUAACUAACGCAAAUUUCUGGAACUUUAAAACUCCUACCAAAAUAGGAAGUCCUGGAAAAAUUGCCUAUUGAUCAGUAGCAAAAAAUAAUUAACGCAAAAGAAAGUUUUUGUGAUUUAACAAAACUAAUUUCGUGCGUUCAAGGUUUCUGUUUUUCAGCAGAACCAAAUCAACUAUCACCAUAGGUUAUCCUAUAGGUUCUACUUGGCACAAACACUAAUUAAAACAUAAAAACACAUCUAAACAGAAGGUAGAUGCAAAAUUUAUUACUAAACAGAAACAAAAACAAAAAACACAAAUAAAAUUGGGUUGCCUUCCAACUAGCACUAUCGUUUAACGCCCUUAGCUAGGCUUAAAAGCGAAGAUAGAUCUAAGUAGUGCCAUCUUUGGCACUCAAUUCAUAAGUAGCUCGCAUGAUAGAUUCAUAAGGUAAUUUGACUUUAUUUAUUGGAAAGUUCCCCAUGCCUUUCCUUAAUGGAAAUUGGAAUCUAACAUUCCCUUCCUUCAUAUGAAUAAUCGCACCAAUCGUUCUAAGGAAAGGUCUACCAAGAAUAAUAGGGCAAGAAAGAUUGCAAUCUAUAUCAAGAACGAUAAAAUCUACGGGAACCAAAUUUCUAUUUGCAACAAUGAGAACAUCAUUGAUCCUCCCCAUUGGCUUUUUAAUGGUCGAAUCUGCAAGGUGCAAAUUUAAAGAGCAAUCAUCAAGAUCAUGGAAACCUAGAAUAUCACAUAAAGUUUUCGGAAUCGUGGAAACACUAGCACCCAAAUCAUACCGAGCAAAACACUAAUGAUAUUUAAUUAUAAUCUUUAUAGUAGGUUCCCACUCAUCAUUAACUUUUCUAGGUAUAGAAACUUCCAAAUUAAGUUUUUCAUCAUAAGAUUGCAUCAAGGAUAUGUUUGGUAAAAGCUUUAUUUUGACUAUAAGCAUGAGGAGAAUUAACAAGGGAUUGCAACAAGGAAAUACAACCUUCUAAAGAGCAAUUACCACAAUCAAAUUCCUUGAAAUCCGAGAUAGUGGGUUCAAUACUAUUUAAAGUCAUGACCUCUCCAAUCCCACUUUACCAAAUCUAGCAUCAAGAUCUAAAAACUCCGAAUUAUUGGGACGCCUUCUAACUAAAGUUGACUCAUCUACAGUCCCAUCAUUAUCAAGUUUCAUAUUGCAAAACAAAGAUCUAAUAGGAGACACAUCAAUAACUUUAAGAUCUUCAUCAUUAUUUUCAUCUAACUUUUCUGGUUUGGCGGCCAUCUUAUCGACUAAGGUGGCUUGCUUAUCAGAAGCUUUAUGUCUUUAUUCAUAUCAUCAAGCUCCUUAUUCAUAAACCCCAAAAAACCUUUUUGUUCUUUAAGCUCUUUUCUGAAGAAAUUAUUAUGCUCAGAUUGAAAAGUCAUAAAGCUUCUAAUGUUCGAUUCAAUCUCUUCCAACCUUAUAAGAAGGAGGUCGGUACUCUUAGGCAAAGCCAUAAGGACAAACAGGAACACAAGCAAACAGAAAAAGGCAAGCGAAAAAGAGAAGAGGAGAAGAUUGGGAAAGAGAGGGCGAAUAAAACGGCAAGGGUGAAGUGGGGGAGAGGAAAACGAGAGGCAAAUGGCAAAUAAUGUAAAUGCGAGGGAGAUAAGUUUGUGAUGGGUACUUGGUAUGUCUUGACUUGAGCGAAGACCUCCCCGGCAACGGCACCAGAAAUCCUUCUUGCUACGUCUUGAGCUUGUGUUGGUUUUCCUUGAAGAGGAAAGGGUGAUGCAACAAUAGUAGCAUAAGUAUUUCCCUCAGUUUUUGAGAACCAAGGUAUCAAUCCAGUAGGAGGCUCCUCAAAAGUCCCACACACCUAAACAAACAAAGAACUCGCAACCAACGCAAUAAAGGGGUUGUCAAUCCCUUCACGGCCACUUGCGAAAGUGAGAUCUGAUAGAGAUAGUAUGAUAAGAUAAAUAUAUUUUUGGUAUUUUAUAAUAUAGAUGCGAAAAGUAAAGAUGCAAAUAAAGGUAGAUUGAAAGCUUAUAUGAUAAAAGAUAGACCCGGGGGCCAUAGGUUUCACUAGUGGCUUCUCUCAAGAUAGCAUAAGUAUUACGGUGGGUGAACAAAUUACUGUCAAGCAAUUGAUAGAAAAGUGAAUAAUUAUGAGAUUAUCUAGGCAUGAUCAUGUAUAUAGGCAUCACGUCCGUGACAAGUAGACCGACUCCUGCCUGCGUCUACUACUAUUACUCCACACAUCGGCCGCUAUCCAACAUGCAUCUAGAGUAUUAAGUUCAUAAGAACAGAGUAACGCAUUAAGAAAGAUGACAUGAUGUAGAGGGAUAAAGUCAAGCAAUAUGAUAUAAACCCCAUCCUUUUAUCCUUGAUGGUAACAAUACAAUACGUUCCUUGCAACUCUUUCUGUCACUGGGUAAGGACACCGCAAGAUUGAACCCAAAGCUAAGCACUUCUCCCAUGGCAAGAAAGAUCAAUCUAGUAGGCCAAACCAAACUGAUAAUUCGAAGAGACUUGCAAAGAUAACUCAAUCAUACAUAAAAGAAUUCAGAGAAGAUUCAAAUAUUUCUCAUAGAUAAACUUGAUCAUAAACCCACAAUUCAUCGGAUCUCGACAAACACACUGCAAAAAGAGUUUACAUCGAAUAGAUCUCCACAAGAGAGGGGGAGAACAUUGUAUUGAGAUCCAAAAAGAGAGAAGAAGCCAUCUAGCUAAUAACUAUGGACCCGAAGGUCUGUGGUAAACUACUCACAACUCAUCGGAGGGGCUAUGGUGUUGAUGUAGAAGCCCUCCAUGGUCGAUUCCCCCUCCGGCGGAGCGCCGGUGAAGGCUCCAAGAUGGGAUCUCGCGGAUACAGAAGGUUACGGCGGUGGAAAAUGUUUUUUGUUGGCUCCCUGGAUGUUUUUGGGGUACGUAGGUAUAUAUAGGAGGAAGAAGUACGUCGGCGCCCUCCUAUCUCCUGGCCACCUCGAUUGCUUCUUGACUUGCACUCCAAGUCCUCUAGAUCACGUUCGUUCCAAAAAUCACGCUCCCGAAGGUUUCAUUCCGUUUGGACUCCGUUUGAUAUUCCUUUUCUUCGAAAUACUAAAAUAGGCAAAAAAAUAGCAAUACAGUCUGGGCCUUCGGUUAGUAGGUUAGUCCCAAAAAUGAUAUAAAUGUGUAAAAUAAAGCCCAUAAACAUCCAAAAGGGGUAAUAUAAUAGCAUGAAACAAUCAAAAAUUAUAGAUACAUUGGAGACGUAUCAACCGCCCUCGCCCAACUGCUGGCGAGCAAUGAAAAUCCGCGGCGAGGUGGCUCGACGCCGGGGCGGGUGAAAGCAAAGAACCGGCAUCGUCUCGAAGGCUACUGCAUGCUCUACUCCGACUACUUCGCCGAUGCUCCACUUCACGGCGACAAAACAUUUCGGCGCCGUUAUCGGAUGAGCCGAAAGCUCUUCCUUAGGAUUGUGAAUUCCAUCCGGGAGUUCGACAACUACUUCAAAUGCAAGAUGGAUUGCACCAGCAAACUUGGAUUAACCUCGAUCUAGAAGUGCACGAUAGCGAUGAGGAUGCUUGCAUACGGAGCUCCCGGUGACUCACAGGACGACUAUGGGCGCAUGGCCGAGUCCACCAGCAUAGAGUGUUUCUAUAAGUUCUGUCGGGCAGUGGUGGUAGUGUUUGGACCGCAAUACUUGAGAACACCCAAUGCGGAAGAUACUGCUCGGAUCCUAGCACAAAAUGCAGCAAGAGGAUUUCCUGGGAUGUUUGGAAGCAUCGACUGCAUGCAUUGGAAAUGGAAGAAUUUCCCAUUUGCUUGGCAGGGGAUGUACAAAGGCGCCAAAGGCGGUUGCAGUGUGGUACUUGAGGUGGUGCCCACACAGGACCACUGGAUUUGGCACUCCUUCUUUGGUAUGCCAGGAACUCACAAUGACAUCAACGUGCUGUAGUGCUCUCCUGUCUUUGCAAAGCUUGUUGAAGGUCAUUCUCCUCCGGUGAACUUCAAGAUCAAUGGGCGGCACUACAACAAGGGGUACUAUCUAGCUGAUGGCAUCUAUCCAAGAUGGUCGACAUUUGUGAAGACCAUCACAAACCCUGUGCCAGGAGGCAAGAACGUCUGAUUUGCGAAGAUUCAGGAGGCUUGCAGGAAGGAUGUCGAGCGGGCAUUUGGUGUGCUCCAAUCUCUAUUUGCUGUUGUCCGGUACCCCGCUCAGACCUGGUCCAAAGAUCAAAUGUGGGAUAUCAUGACCUGUUGUGUCAUCUUGCACAACAUGAUCAUUGAGAGCGAGCAUGAAGAGCCAGUGUUUCACACUGAACCAUACCACAGGUAGGGUCAUCUUGCCCAAGUUGAUCACCAGCUACCGGCAACUUGGACUGCCUACCUCAGUAUGCGUCAGGAGAUCCGAGACCCACAAGUGCAUCAUCAACUGCAGCAAGAUCUGAUAGAGCACCUAUGGAGGCUCAAGGGCGACGCCGGGCGCGACGUGUGAUGAAAUAUGAGUUUUUAUUUGUUGAACUAUAUAAUUUGUAUUAAACUAUUUGUUGUUGUACUAUUUUGUUGAAGUAUUUGAUUUUUCUGUGAUGAAAUAUGUGAUAAAAAAUAUAUUUAUGUUGGUAACUGAACGCCGAGCCACGACGAACCAUGCCGAAUAUGGGCCUAUUCUCGCCCAUAUGGGACCUUUUCGCCGAAAUGGGGCUUGAAAAGUGGGCCAACAUCGGCAUCUGGGGGCGAGCUCGGGGAGACGACUGGGCGCAAAACCGCCCCCAGCGCCGAAUGUAUCACCAGCNNNNNNNNNNNNNNNNNNNNNNNNNNNNNNNNNNNNNNNNNNNNNNNNNNNNNNNNNNNNNNNNNNNNNNNNNNNNNNNNNNNNNNNNNNNNNNNNNNNNNNNNNNNNNNNNNNNNNNNNNNNNNNNNNNNNNNNNNNNNNNNNNNNNNNNNNNNNNNNNNNNNNNNNNNNNNNNNNNNNNNNNNNNNNUUUUUACUCGCGGGACUGAAUGGCAUACAUGCAUGCUACUCUGAUUUGGAUAGCUUGAUGCAUUUUAUCUCUCAAUGAAACACUAGGACGUAUCACAACCUAGUUAAUUAAUUAUGGCUUGCCCAACAUGGCCGUGUUGCUAGAUCUUUAGAUUUUAAAUUAGGAAAUAUAAACAUGUUUGUGAAAUAAUUAUCAGGAGCAGAUCUCGGAUCCGUCGGAGCCACGCCCGGUGGUUCCGAGUUUGUCGAAGCACUAUCCGGCAAGUCGUCAUCUCCUUGACCAUGUCUUGGUAAAUGUUUUUCGGGUUAUGGGUCAUUUCCAAAAUUUUGCAUACGAAUUAAAUAUAAAUAUUUUUCAUAAAUAAAAUGAAAUUUGGAUCAGGUGGAUCCACUGAUUUGGCAAUUGGACCAGAUCAGGUGAAGCAUCUGUAUUAAGUAGCAGUGACCCGGGUAGGGUUACAAUAUAAAUAAAUAUUUGGUGGGUAGGGGAGCUCAUGUUGGUGAAAGCAACCAAGGGAGGGUAGGCUUGGAUGGCAGGCUCCUCUACAUAGGGUAUCACAUUAGGACACAACCAACUAGCGCUUACUUCAAAAGCGGCGCAAGUAGCUGCCUCUGCAUGGCUGAGAAGGUGGUUGUAGCUGGGUAGGUACAAUCACCCUAGGGCGGGACCAUCGGUCAAGGGUCUCGACUCGCGGGCCUUUAGUAAGGCAAGGUGGAAAAGCAGAGGUAGUGUACGGGCUGGUUAAAGGUUCUGGUUCCUUUGUCUUGUCGUGUGCACGGGUAGCACAUGAACGACUUGGACCAAGUGAUGCUAUGGGCAAAGCAGUACACCUCUGAUCAGAGUAAAUGUGAUAUCACUCCCAGCUUCCGGGUUUGGAAGUGCGUCGUGUGGGUUUUCGUCUAACACAGGAUUUAAGAUCCGACGUCGCUUUGUCUCCUGUAGAUUUUAUAAAUAAAAUUUGGUUUUCAACAAAAUGGGUUAAGAGAAAAUAUUUUUACUUACAAAGUAUUUUGAGCUAAUGGCUCGAUGGUUGUAGCCGUGGCCGAUAAAGUUUUUCCUCUUUAAAGACUCAUGCAUCCACUUUUCCAGGUGACUUGCGAAGUACGUAUUUUAUACGUACUCAGUUGCACUUAUGUUGUUUUUCAGAACAAGAGAGUUAUGAGAACUCUAAGGCGAUAGAGAAUGGUACUUAUGAUGAGUCUGGUCAUAUUAAUGACUUCGGUUAUUCUGAAGUGGAGAAUGUUUAUGAGGAAGUCGACAAUCAAGGCUAUGAAGAGUAGAUGCCUACCAUGGUUGGUCUAGAAGGCUCGUAACUAGAAAUGGAUGACGAUCUAUCGUCAUGGUCGCUUAGUCUUAGUCGACACUUCAGGUGUCAAUGUAAUACAAGCUUGCCUACUCAUGGCAGCUGCACCGUCUUGUAUAUGAUACUGUUCUCCUUAACUGAUCCUGGCGCAACUCUGAAGUGACGGCUUCCGUUACGCCUGACUUUGUCGGACGUAACAGGGCGUCACGGAAGAGGUGGUAUCAGAGCCACGCCAAGGAAGCAGUCAUGUACUUAGUUAGAGACUGUCCGAGCCCUAGGAAAGAUAUGUUUGCUCCUUACCUAAAAUAAAAUAAGAGUUUUCAAAAAAAAAUCAUCCCUUCUCAAGUUCUACCUCUCCUAUGUAUAUAUACGUUUUGUGUAAAAAUAUAACUCAAGUCAAGUGAAGAUUAAAUAAUUUAGACCACACAAUAUAACUAACUAAAUUCUUAAUUGCUUAAUGUAGGAUGACGAGUGGUAGGUUGUUUGGUAUGGGUGCUGAGUAUGGUGGUUUUGCUCUGUUCUUGGUUGAGCUUCUUGGUCUUCUCGGUGUGUUGAUUGCACCAUACUACACAGUGUUUCACGACCCGUGUUCCACGGGGUACUUAGUCAUGGUGCACAUUCCUGAGAGCUUAGAUGUCCCUUCUAGGUUCAGUGUUGCAUGUUACGACUUUGUUUCAGCACUUCAGGGUGCGGCACGGGAUGCCGCUUUACACCUUUUCCAUGCCUACCACCCUUUCCUUGAGUACGUGGGCAGAGGCGAGUGGCCUCAUCAGUUAGAGGAGGCAGGGUGUUCGUCUGCACCUACGCCCACUGUCGCUCCUUCGCCUUUUGCGUCCACUUCCGCUUUCCCUCCACUUCCACCACGUCCUCUUGUCUUACCUCCCACAUUUUUACCACCACCAGCUCCGACUGCCGCUCGUCCACCUCUGUACCUGACGGUCCCACCCACUCGUGCAGACCGCCCAUCUCCUAGAGUCUCAAGGGGUUCCUCCUCUCGAGCAGUGUCACGUCCCUCGACACCGUACGAGCGUCCACCUACACCUCAGCUUGUUCAGGACCUGUUAGAUCAGGUUGACACUCUUCAGAGGCGCUGCUCCGAGCUCGAGCGGGCGAACAACGAGCUGUCCUCUGCAUUGAGGGGCUACACCCGUCCGGGUAUGGCCCUCAACCCUCUUCAGAUCGACAGCUCACCUUCCGCCUCUCGAGGCAAGAUAGGGUACCCGAUUGACUAGUGGUCUCUUGUCACCGACGAGCCUUCCUCUCAGGUUCCUCCUACCCUGAGUUCCGUUGUAGUGCCACCACCUACAGAGCACACUCCCCACACUCCACCAGGUUCUCCGCCCUCCAUCCCUGCUCCAUCUUCUCUUGAUGGCACCCCCGAGUUUUCAGUGAUCGGCGUCACUUACUCAGAGCUUCUAGCACUUGACUCCCGCCAGGUGUCUUCUCAGCCCAUGGAGUACCUUCGUGUCGCUUCUGAGGUCACUCCCUCUGAGCACACUCCUUCUGAGUACCCGCUUAGCACCAUCAGCGUACCCGAGUCUGAUGCUGCUGCACCGAGUGUGUCUCUACCUGCACCGACUUCUGCCCUCGACCCCGACUUGCUCCUCACCGUUUCACCUAGUACUCUUGUCAGGGAGGAUUGACUUGCUACCAGUAGUAGUAGUAGUUAGUAUUCUGGCAAGGUUGUAGCAUCGUGCUAGAUAGCUACUCCUCCCAGAGUUAGUUUCGCCACUUAUUAGAGGUUUAGGCAGAUGCAUGGAGGUUGUCCUUUUGGAUCUUGUACAUAUCUGGAAAGGUCUUGUAGACGUAGCUACCCUUCCAGAGUUUGCACAGCCGUAGUUAGUCAGACUAGUUCCGACGGACUGAUUGGUCGGCAGAUAUACUUUUGUUCCAGGUACACGUGUAGAUAGCUGUGGUAGCCUGAUGAUGCAUGACAUAGAGUCAUAUGUGGUGUUGCAACUAUGUUAUGUGAUGUAUCCAUGUGGACUGGUGGACUUAUGCAUGUACUAAUAUUCUAUUACUAGAUGAUCUCGUGUGAUGCAGGCGCCAUGCCUCCAUGUUCAUUUUUUAUAUAUAUUUUUAUGCAUUCCUAACUCUGUUGAAUGGAAUAUUGUAUGUGAUGAUGCUGCUACAUUGCUGCUAGUACUUCAUAAUGACAUGUGAUGUAUGGUAAAUUUUAUUUGGUGAUCUCCUUCACUCAAUUACAUGCCUUGAUACAUCACAUUUUUCCUAGCACUUCAUGAGUUCAAAUGAUGUAUGUCCGACACUUGAUGCGUAUAUGCUUUUAGUCAUGUACGUGAAGAGCUUGUGUGUGGGCGUGCAUGUGCAAGUGGCUCUAUUUUUUUUUACCUUAUGAUUAAUCUCUUGUCUCCGUUAUGAUAAAAAAAUCAAUUUGUCUGACUGUAUUUAUUCUUUGGCCAACAACCAGUAAAAAAAUCUAGUAUGCCUUAAGUGCACUGAUUAAAGUGAUGCUCAAAGAAUAAUAAAGGAAGGUAAGCGUGAUGCGUACUGUUUGAGCUAAAAUCUCAUCGCUAAUUAAACAAAUAAAAUUAUUUUACAUAAACUAGCUAUCGUAAUAACCUAUGUCUUGCCCACCAGUUUGGUAGCGAUGGCAUCUAGUAGUCAGUCGUUCGAAGACAAUGGGAACCCAUCAGAUUUAGCACCUGAGUCGCUAAGGAACAUGGCAGAUUUGCUGUCUAGAGUGAUGUUACCUCCACCGCCAUCAUUACCCCCUCAUGCCUCGGGAUCCGAUCAACUUGCUCUAAUGUACCAGUGGAUGGAGCAAUCUCGUCGAGACUCUCUAGAACACCAAAAUAAGUUCAUGGAACAAAUGUUUGAUAUGAUCUGAGGCCAACUGACUAAAAACUCAGAACAAGGUGUCACGAUUGGAGACUUCCAAAAGACUAGACCACCAACCUUUUCAACUGCCACAUAUCCAUUAGCCGUAGAUGAUUGGUUGAUGGACAUAGAGCUGAAACUUAACACCGUGGGAUGCACGGAUCAAGAAAAGGUUUGGUAUGCAUCCCAUCAGUUAAUUAGUCCUGCUGCCACAUGGUGGAGAAAUGUCCAAAUUAUCUUACCAGAAAACCACAGUCACUUGGGACGAAUUUAAGAGGAUAUUCCAAGAUAACUAUGUCCCGCAAAGUGCGAAGGAAAUAAAAAGGAAGGAAUUCCUGAACCUUAAUCAAGGGUCUAAAACCAUCGCAGAGUACCUAGAUGAAUUUAACUCACUAUCCCGCUAUGCACCAGAGGACACAAAUACUGAGACCAAAAAGGUGUACCGGUUCAUAGAAGGACUGAACCCAUCCAUACAACUUAUUAUAGCUCCUAUAAAAAUAACUGAGUUCUAGGAGCUAGUAGACCGAGUCAUUACAAUCGAGAACCGGAAAAUCGCCGUAGAGGAAGAGCACAGGAAGAAAGCUAGGAUGGACCCAAGGUUUGCCGUGAGAAGUGGAAAUCGUCAUGUUGGCCUAGUCCGCGUGCCAAUGGUCGGGCCCAUCCGUCCUCCUUUCCGUCAAGCUCCUAGACCACCUUUUAUGCCUCCAAGAGCCCCUAUCAAAUGUCGCGUGUGCAAUGGACCACACUUGGCUCGAGAUUGCCCAAAGGCGAGUGUUGUUUGUUUUGGUUGUGGACAAAAGGGACACUACAAAAACCAGUGCCCAAGCAAGAGUCAACCACAAUCUGGCACAAAUGGAGUUGUCCCACCUCAAAAUAAGUGUCAGGCUAAUUCAAUCCAAGUACACGGGAAUGCGUCUACUGCCAACCGCGGGCAUGGUCGUGGCGGUCUCACACGUGGACCAUUCUGCCUGGCACAUAUGGAUGUGGCACAAGUGGAGUCAGCUUUAGACAUAGUGACGGGUAACCUACUAAUCCCUCCUGGAGUAGGACUAGUAUUGUUUGACCCAGGAGCAACACAUUCUUUCAUAUCACAACGCUUUGUUGAGAUGCAUAAUCUGGACCGGACCCCCCUAGCCAAACCCAUAAAAGUAGAUUCACCAGGAGGCCCAAUAAUUGUGGAGCAUGUCUGCCACAACCGUCCCAUUUGCAUUGAGGGCAUAACCUUUAAUGCUAGCCUAUUUUUAAUUGGCUUAAGAGGAUUAGACGUUAUCCUUGGAAUGGAUUGGUUAGCGAGUCAUGGAGCAAGAAUGGACUGUGUAGAAAAAUCCAUAUCCUUGUGACGCCUGGGUAAUUAAACUACAGUAACCAUCUACUAAUGAUGCCACGUCACCUUGAUUACUGUUGCUAAUCUCGUGUUAGUUUAGAACCGAUCCAAAUUCAAAUUUAAGAUCAAGUCGAACAAUUAAAGUUUUCAAAAGUGAAAACUAAAAUGUUGUAAAUAAGUAAAUCCUAGGUAAUAAUGGUGGAGAAACCUAAAUUUAAUAAAAUGUUUAAGUGUUCAAAAUAAUUAAAACUAUGGGUUAAAUAAUAAAACAAAUGCCUUUGGAAUUUUAUCAAAUAUUAAACUAUUUUAAUUGGGAUGAAAAGUAAUGUGGCAGUAGUUUAUUUAAAAGUACCAAUUUAGGUGUUAGUGAUAAUUUUUACUAAAACUAAAAUAAAAUAUAACUAAAAUAAAACAGAAAAGAAAUCAAUAAAAAGGGAAGAAUAAAAACAGUAAAACAAAGCUAACUAAAAUAAAGAGAAAAGGAACCCCCCCAACCCCCGGGCCAACUGGCCCAGCUGGCCAAGGCCCAACCGGCCAGCCCAACCGGCCCCUCAGUCCCCAUAACACCCCCCAUCGAUGGGAAACCCUAGCCCAUCGCACCCACGCCCCCCACUCGCUCCCCACGUCCCUCCUCCCCUCUCCCCCGAUCCAGAUCUGGAUCGGGGAUGAAACCCCCUCGACGUCGUUCCCCAUCGCGCCCGACCUCUUGCCACGUCAGAGCCCCACCUCGCCCGCGCGGCUGCGCCUGGGGAACCGUCGCCUGCCGCCGUCUCCAGUGCUGUCGUCGACCACCGCCGCCGCUCGAGGACCCGAAGCCGCCUGAUGAUGCCCCAUCGUCGUCACGUCCCCGUCCUCCUCCCCGCCGGACUGCGCCCGCCUCCCCGACGUCGUGACGACGCCUCGUCCCCGUCCUCCUCCACAACGGUCGCCCCCGAGCCUCGCCGCCCCGCUUCUCUCCAACGCUGGUGAGGCCACCUCCGGCCUACACUCCUUCCUUCCCCCACGCCAUCCCGCUCCGGUCACCGCUUCCCUACCACUGGCUUCGCCCCGACCGCCCCGCGCCUCGCAGGCCGUGCGCUGCUCGUGCGCCCGCCCAGGGCCUCGCCGUCGUUGCUUGCUACUCGCCCGGUUAAGCGCGGCGUCCCCCCGCAGCCGUCCAUGUGCCUUCGCCCGCCCCCACUGCCCGCCGCGGCCAUCCCUUUGCUGCCUCUGCUGGCCGCCGACACCGGCGUAUGCCGUGCGUGCCCAGCGCCCCUCGGGUGUGCGCCCGAUCGGGCAGCGCCCGUUCACCCACGCCCGUUUGGCCCUAUGGGCCAAUGACAUGUGGGGCUCAGCCCCUGGAACGUUUAAAAAAUAAUAAUAAAAAAAUAAAAAAAUAUUAAUAUUAAUUAAGUAACUAUUCAAUCAUGUUUAAUUAACUUAAUUAAUUACGUUUAAUUAACCUAAUCAAUUAACUAAACUAGUUAAACCUGUUUAGUUAGCAUUAGUCAAUGACAGGUGGGUCCCAUUGGACCCAUAGGCCAGGUUUGACUCUGGUCAGCUGGGUUUGACCUGCUGACAUCAUGGUGAUGUCAUGCUGACAUCACCUUUCACUGUUCUGGAUAAUGCUCAAAUUAAAUAAUUAAAUAAAUUCUAAAAAUGAUUUAAAACUUUAGAAAAUCAUAUAAAAUAAACCAUAGCUCAGAUGAAAAUACUUUCUACAUGAAAGUUGCUCAGAACGACGAGACGGAUCCGGAUACGAAUCCCGUUCGUCCGCCACACACUCCUAGCAUAGCAAACACGCAACUUUCCCCCUCCCGUUCAUCUGUCCGAAAACGCGAAACACCGGGAAUACUUUCCCGGAUGUUUCCCCCCUUCGUCGGUAUCACCUACUACCGCGUUAGGGCACACCUAGCACCGCGUAUUGCCAUGUUACACUUUGUGAUGCUUUGAUUGCUCUGUUAUUUAUUGUGUUCCCUCUCCGUUACUUCUUUCUGAUAGACCUCGAGACUGCUGGCGACCCCCAGUUCGACUACGAUGUUGACGACCCCUCCUUCUUGCCAGAGCAACCAGGCAAGCCCCCCCCUUGAUCACCAGAUAUCGCCUAUUCUUCUCUAUACUGCUUGCAUUAGAGUAGUGUAGCAUGUUGCUGUUCGGUUACUCCUAUUCUGUUGCAUAGCCUGUCAUUGUUGCUACAGUCAUUGAUACCUUACCCGCAAUCCUAAAUGCUUAGUAUAGGAUGCUAGUUUAUCAUCAUUGGCCCUACAUUCUUGUCAGUCUGCCUUGCUAUACUAUUGGGUCGUGAUCACUUGGGAGGUGAUCACGGGUAUAUACUAUACAUAUAUACAUACUAUAAAGAUGGUGACUAAAGCCGGGUCAGCUCGUUGAGUACCCGCAAGUGAUUCCGAUGUGGGGGCUGGAAGGACAGGUGGCUCCAUCCCGGUAGAGGUGGGCCUAGGUUCCCGACGGCCCCCGACUGUUACUUUGUGGCGGAGCGACAGGGCAGUUUGAGACCACCUAGGAGAGAGGUGGGCCUGGCCCUGGUCGGCAUCCGCGAUUACUUCAUAAUAACACGCUUAACGAGAUCUUGGUAUUUGAUCUGAGUCUGGCCACUGGCCUAUAUGCACUAACCAACUAUGCGGGAAAGAUAUGGGCACUCGACGUCGUGGUAUCAGCCGAAGCCUUCUUGACGUCAGCGACUGAGCGGCGCGCGCCGGAUUGGACCGCGUAACGUGACUUCCUUUGUAAUGGAGGUUGCUAGGUCUGCUUCAAGCCGCCCUCGCAACGUGCAGGUGUGCAAUGGGCGAUGGGCCCAGACCCCUGCGCGCAUAGGAUUUAGACCGGCGUGCUGACCUCUCUAUUGUGCCUAGGUGGGGCUGCGACGUGUUGAUCUUCCGAGGCCGGGCAUGACCCAGGAAAGUGUGUCCGGCCAAAUGGGAUCGAGCGUGUUGGGUUAUGUGGUGCACCCCUGCAGGGAAGUUUAUCUAUUCGAAUAGCCAUGUCCCUUGGUAAAAGGACGACCCGGAGUUGUACCUUGACCUUAUGACAACUAGAACCAGAUACUUAAUAAAACACACCCUUCCAAGUGCCAGAUACAACCCGGUGAUCGCUUUCUCACAGGGCGACGAGGGGAGGAUCGCCGGGUAGGAUUAUGCUAUGCGAUGCUACUUGGAGGACUUCAAUCUACUCUCUUCUACAUGCUGCAAGACGGAGGUUGCUAGAAGCGUAGUCUUCGACAAGAUUAGCUAUCCCCCUCUUAUUCUGGCAUUCUGCAGUUCAGUCCACUGAUAUGGCCCUUUACACAUAUACCCAUGCAUAUGUAGUGUAGCUCCUUGCUUGCGAGUACUUUGGAUGAGUACUCACGGUUGCUUUGCUCCCUCUUUUCCCCCGUUUUCCUCUUCUUCUCGGAUGCCGCAACCAGAUGUUGGAGCCCAGGAGCCAGAUGCCACCGUCGACGACGACUCCUACUACACCGGAGGAGCCUUCUACUACGUGCAGGCUGCUGACGACGACCAGGAGUAGUUAGGAGGAUCCCAGGCAGGAGGCCUGCGCCUCUUUCGAUCUGUAUCCCAGUUUGUGCUAGCCUUCUUAAGGCAAACUUGUUUAACUUAUGUCUGUACUCAGAUAUUGUUGCUUCCGCUGACUCGUCUAUGAUCGAGCACUUGUAUUCGAGCCCUCGAGGCCCCUGGCUUGUAUUAUGAUGCUUGUAUGACUUAUUUAUGUUUUAGAGUUGUGUUGUGAUAUCUUCCCGUGAGUCCCUGAUCUUGAUCAUACAUAUUUGCGUGCAUGAUUAGUGUACGAUUGAAUCGGGGGCGUCACAAGUUGGUAUCAGAGCCAACUGCCUGUAGGAAUCCCCCUUUCCAACUCCUUGGUCGAAGUUGAGUCUAGUCAAUGAAAAUUGUUUUACUAACUUGGCUGUGUGGCCCAUGGGCCUACGUCGCCAAUUGGGUGGUAUUAGGAUCUUUUAUUCCUCGACCUAUACUCUGGGACUCUAAUGUCUCCUCUAUUCGGGUUAAAUGAUUUUGCUAAAAAGACUAACUUUAGGUUCUCGAAAAUACUUUCUCCCGGAGAGCCCCUCCCUCCAGAUGAUCGCUUGCUGCACUAGAAGAUUCCAAAGAUACUCUUCGAGGUUUUUCCGAGACCCUUGUGCCCAUUGACUUUACAAUCCCCUACCACCGAUAUACCCUUAUGGAUAACUACCUACAAUUGUCGUUCAUACCUUCAUCCUUAGUUGCUCUUGUUAUUACAAGAUGCCUUAAAUUGCUCUCCGUUGUUCCGAAAAUCCUUUAAGCUUACUGCGUUGCAGUUCUUUACCACAUGAAUACCCCUAUUGAAAAUUCCUCGCACUUAUUGAGCAUCCGUUCAUCCUCGGUUGUUCGUAUGCUUCAUAAGAUACUCUGAAAUACUAUCCGACCUUCUGAGCAUCCUCUUCAAACUAUUGCUCUGCAAAUACUUGUAUGCUUACAUUAUGGAUGCUCCCAUAUCACUAGCAAUAUUCACUAGUAUCUUUUGACACUGUCAUUUUGAUCCUAUUGAUUCAACAUGUGUGCGAAUGCACACAAUCAUCAAUCGACCCUUCUAAAUUAUCUUUCCGGCUCAGACGUCAUUCUGAACAUGAGCUGGUUCUGGACCAAACUAUUUGUCGCCAAUUGUGCCUCUGGUCUAUCCAACUUAUCCAUCCUUGAUCAGAGUGUCUGCUUCUGAUCCCUUGUUUUGGAAAUCAUAAUUCCUUUGUUAUCUAAGCAUCGAAUUAUUCAGAUGUUCUAUAAUCUGAUGCCCAUGCAUUCUUUCUUCCUCUGAUUGAGUACAGAUACUCACAUCAGCUCCGUUGUGGAUCGCCCGAUCCAUUGUUGGAUUUCAUCCGACAUCGUCCUUCAUAUUCAAUAACCUUGUGAGCCUUUCCACGGGUGUAUAUUGCCUUUGGUAAAUUGUAUCCUCUGCUUGGCCAACCAUGCUCUGCUUUUGAGCUUGUGUAUUUACUUUUGAAACUUGUGGUAUAUGUUCUAAGAUGCCCCGAUGGGUUGAACCUAUGCCUUCCCUAAUCUGUGUGAACCCGGAAGUUUUCGCGGGUCAUACUCCUCUGGUAUUCACUAGGUAGGUUUUGACACUAAAAUCAUUUUUUUGGAGUGAAUGAAAGGUUAUGCAUUGGAGAAGUGGGAGUCGACCUUGAACUUAGUGAUCAUGCCCAUGGAAACGAUGUUGAGCUUAUCAUGAUAGCUUCUCGUAACAAUAAUUAUUCACUUAAUUUGAUCUUGUGUCUAUGAUUUUGUCCUUUGCAAUCGUGGUUCCGACCAUGAUUGUUCUUCUUUGAUCCCAUUCUCGGACAAGUUAAAAGUACUUGCCUUCUGCAGAUCAUUACAUCUGCCCAACCUCUAUUUGAUCUACAUUCAAGUAUUACCCCCUGGUAUCUCGAGGAUAUCAACCCAUUACACUACAUCUUAUGAAAGUAACUUUCCCCGUCACGGUCACUCCACGGGUUCUGGGUUGUCGUCAACCGAGAACAUUGAUUUGUGAAUCAAAUCAACACUGUGAUUCAGUACUUCUAGUACUUUGUUGUUGAGAAGUUUAAUACUCCAUCACGUCAUUCCGAGCCUGAUCGGCCACAUCAUUAUCGUGCUAAUUUAAACUGUGCUACCUGGUCCUUCCAGGAGCACAAGUUUUGAUGAUGAGCUAAGCUUACGCUGAUCUUCCUCGUCAUACCAUUUUGCCUUGAACAACAAGCUUGAUUUUGAGUUUGCAUCGUACUCGUGGUUUUAAUAACCUUUCGCGUCAUCAUUCCUUUGACUUGAUGUCAUCGCCGAUUGAUUACAUCUUCAUGAAAUCUCUCGAAAAUUUUGUUGUGAUCAUCAUCAAUAUUCCGAGCUCUUAUAGGAUAUCAAUUGAAUUCAUGAUGAGAAAGACCAUCCUUGCCCUUGAUGAUUAGUGUUAUCAUCGACCACUCUACUGCCUUCCCUCCAACACAAACUUGUUCGUGUUUUUGUGUUAUACCUUGAGUUCCUUGCUAUCCAGCGUUUGUUCUUCUUUACCUUGGAGUAUUACCAUCUUUUAUGUCAAGGAUGUUGUGAGGACUGCUCCACUUCUUAAGGAAUUCUUGUUAUUAUGAUACUUCUUACCCUCACCCUUCUUUCUUGGUCCCUGUGUUGAUUCUAACCAGGAUACCAACACGUGAACCAUGCUGCUUGGAUUCUGUACUUCUAGCAACCCUAUUUCUUUGAAGUUAAUGGUCGACAUUUCAUCCUUAGACCAUUGGUUAUCGAAUCAUCAUUCUAACAUUGAUCCUGCUACCUAAGCCCAUAUUUCGGGUGCACCUUUCAACCAGUGAUUAAUUGUGUAUGUUUCCCUCGAGCAUACAUCAUUAUAUCAUUUGAUCUGUUAAAUGUUAUCUCCUUGUUCACAUAAUUGUGGAAAUCCACCUUUUUGUAAAUCUCAAUGAAUUUUCGCUGAGCCCAUCAGCCACCUCCUCACCCUCCCCUUGAUUUAAGGAUGAACUCCUGCUUUGGAACUCGCUUCCAUAGUACAUUUCCCGAGAAUCUUACAAUGUCGUCUCGCCAAAUUGUGUUGCACCCCUUCCUUUUCAGGCAUCCUGAGUCUGAGCUAUCCUGACACCAAUCAGAUCCAAAUCUCGGGUCAGAUAUGAUGGUUUGAACUUAUUUCCAAGAGUUUUAACAUUGGUCUUUAUAUGACUCGGUAAGGUGAUGUCAUGCCUAGCACACCUGGCUGGGGAACCCAUUGUUAUAAUACCCCCUCUUUUCAGUAAGGUUAGCCAUUCUUCCAUAAGGGAAUUGUAAGACUUAUUCUAUAAGAUGUUCCUGAUGGAUCCUUGGUGUAUACAAAGCCUGAUCUUUGCUUGAAGACCAUGUCAGUGCUAUCUCGAAGCAUGUCUAUGGUACUCCGAUCUUCAACAAAAACAUUUGAAGCCCAAUGCUAAAUGUUUCCUGCUCGAUUAUCCAAACACCGUUGUAUGGGUAAUGUCAUGAAAAUUCUCUCCCCUACCUAAAGAGUUUACUACAUUAUAUUCUGUCAUGGAUAUCAUGCUCUGCUCGUCCUUCCGAAGGUUAUACCUUUGAAAUAUGUGCUUAAACACAUUUUCCUUUCCAUUGUUCUGUUUAAUCUGAUAAUCAUAUUUUUCUUUCCAUUUGUUGGGUUAACGUUUCUUGUGAUCUAUAUGAGCUAAGCAGUAAUAUUCUCCUGCUUAGGUAAACACCUCGGUUUACAACUCUAUAAGUGUGACCCUAUUACUAUUGCUGACGACAUCCUGGUAACCCCCGAUGGAUGAGAACUUUGCCUAUUGGUCCGCCUCGUUGAACGAGCAGGAAAAUGGUUCUCUUUGUCCCUCGCCCUUGGUACCAACGUUGUUGCCAACAUAACUGACAGGUUAUUCUUUUUUUAGAGAAAAGGCCAAAGCCCGACUUUAUAAAUAAAGCCACAUGGCAGCGUCACGAAUACCCAAGGUUCACACAGUCUCAGAAACACAAAGAGAAGUUAAAUAGGCCCAAAUUCCUAACGAAACAGGCAGCUGCCAAACACGGCACGCAGGCCGGGGAGAAAAGGAGACCUAAUCCCGCAAACUACAGCACCAGGCUUAUACGCCAUGAUUCGUCCUAGAGAUCUGAGAGGCUGAAGCCCGAAUUUUGGCGAUGAGCAGGUCCAGGGCGUCCCGAUCUGGCUCCUUAGUCAAUAAUCUCCACUGCUGCAAGAAUAUACAUGAUUUGAAAAGAACGUCAGCAGGCUUAGAUGGGAAGGUAAGAGACAGGUUAUUCUCUGACAUGCCUUGCUUACAUGAUCAUGCAAGAUGUCAUCCCCCUUCCUACCUUUAACCCACAUGGUGGGCCCAUAACCCACAGUUCCACAGGAUCGAAACCUGACUCUCCUGUACACCCUGUUGUCAAAGUUAUUCCUCACACUUGACUUCGUAUGUAAUUCACGAGCCACCUUCAGGUCUCAUAUCGGACACAAUACUUAUUCCCGUUGCUUUGACCCUUUCACGCCCUAUAACAGGCAUCAAACGAUUGCCCGCCCGCUCGAAACUUCCUAGGAUACCUCCUUACUUUGCUCUCGAUAUUUUCUUAAGUUUCAAUUCGAGAGUUACUUUCCGCCACCUUCCUCGAUGUUUUCGACCCGAUAGUCAACCUUGCCAAGGUCCGUUCUCCCAGAAUGCCCACCCUUUAUUCUUUCAUAAGUACGACGGAGUUCCUGAAGAAAGGACGCCGACUUCAUCAUGAUGACCUGAAGCAGAGAAGUGAAGACAUCAAUGCUAUGGAUCGACCUCUUUGAGAACAGCAACCAAGACCGAGAAGAAUCAUUAGAAUUUCGAAACCUAGUCUUUCCCCCUUACUCCCCUCUUAAAUCUCGGGACGAGAUUUCUUGUAGUGGAGGAGAAUUGUGACGCCCGGGUAAUUAAGCUACAGUAACCAUCUACUAAUGAUGCCACGUCACCUUGAUUACUGUUGCUAAUCUCGUGUUAGUUUAGAACCGAUCCAAAUUCAAAUUUAAGAUCAAGUCGAACAGUUAAAGUUUUCAAAAGUGAAAACUAAAAUGUUGUAAAUGUUUUAAUAAAUCCUGGGUAAUAGUGGUGGAGAAACCUAAAUUUAAUAAAAUGUUUAAGUGUUCAAAAUAAUUAAAACUAUGGGUUAAAUAAUAAAACAAAUGCCUUUGGAAUUUUAUAAAAUAUUAAACUAUUUUAAUUGGGAUGAAAAGUAAUGUGGCAGUAGUUUAUUUAAAAGUACCAAUUUAGGUGUUAGUGAUAAUUUUUACUAAAACUAAAAUAAAAUGUAACUAAAAUAAAACAGAAAAGAAAUCAAUAAAAGGGGAAGAAUAAAAACAGUAAAACAAAGCUAACUAAAAUAAAGAGAAAAGGAACCCCCCAACCCUCGGGCCAACUGGCCCAGCUGGCCAAGGCCCAACCGGCCAGCCCAACCGGCUCCUCAGUCCCCAUAACACCCCCCCACCGAUGGGAAACCCUAGCCCAUCGCACCCACGCCCCNNNNNNNNNNNNNNNNNNNNNNNNNNNNNNNNNNNNNNNNNNNNNNNNNNNNNNNNNNNNNNNNNNNNNNNNNNNNNNNNNNNNNNNNNNNNNNNNNNNNNNNNNNNNNNNNNNNNNNNNNNNNNNNNNNNNNNNNNNNNNNNNNNNNNNNNNNNNNNNNNNNNNNNNNNNNNNNNNNNNNNNNNNNNNNNNNNNNNNNNNNNNNNNNNNNNNNNNNNNNNNNNNNNNNNNNNNNNNNNNNNNNNNNNNNNNNNNNNNNNNNNNNNNNNNNNNNNNNNNNNNNNNNNNNNNNNNNNNNNNNNNNNNNNNNNNNNNNNGUCGUUCCCCAUCGCGCCCCGACCCCUUGCCGCGUCGGAGCCCCACCUCGCCCUCGCGACCGCGCCUGCGGAACCGUCACCUGCUGCCGUCCCCAACGCUUUCGUCGACCACCGCCGCCGCUCGAGGACCCGAAUCCGCCUGAUGAUGCCUCGCCGUCGUCAUGUCCCCAUCCUCCUCCCCGCCGGACUGCGCCCGCCUCCCCGACGUCGUGACGACGCCUCGUCCCCGUCCUCCUCCACAACGAUCGCCCCCGAGCCUCGCCGCCCCGCUUCUCUCCAACACUCGUGAGGCCACCUCCGGCCUACACUCCUUCCUUCCCCACGCCACCCCGCUCCGGUCGCUGCUUCCUUGCCACUGGCUUCGCCCCGACCGCCCCGCGCCUCGCAGGCCGUGCGCUGCUCGUGCGCCCGCCCAGGGCCUCACCGCCGUCGCUUGCUACUCGCUCGGCUGAGCGCGGCGCGCCCCCACAGCUGUCCAUGUGCCUUCGCCCACCCCCACUAACCGCCGCGGCCAUCCCUUUGCUGCCUCCGCUGGCCGCCGACACCGGCAUAUGCCAUGCGUGCCCAGCGCCCCUCGGGUAUGCGCCCAAUCGGGCAGCGCCCGUUCACCCGCGCCCUUGGCCCUAUGGGCCAAUGACAUGUGGGGCUCAGCCCCUGGAACGCUUAAAUAAUAAUAAUAAUAAUAAAAUAUAUAAAAAUAUAUAAAUAUUAAUUAAGUAACUAAUCAAUCAUGUUUAAUUAACUUAAUUAAUUACGUUUAACUAACCUAAUCAAUUAACUAAACUAGUUAAACAUGUUUAGUUAGCAUUAGUCAAUGAUAGGUGGGUCCCAUUGGACCCACAGGCCAGGUUUGACUCUGGUCAGCUGGGUUUGACCUGCUGACGUCAUGGUGAUGUCAUGCUGACAUCACCUUUCACUGUUCUGGAUAAUGCUCGAAUUAAAUAAUUAAAUAAAUUCUAAAAAUAAUUUAAAACUUUAGAAAAUCAUAUAAAAUAAACCAUAGCUCAGAUGAAAAUACUUUCUACAUGAAAGUUGCUCAGAACAACGAGACGGAUCCGGAUACGCAGCCCGUUCAUCCGCCACACACUCCUAGCAUAGCAAACACGCAACUUUUCCCCUCCGGUUCAUCUGUCCGAAAACGUGAAACACCGGGAAUACUUUCUCGGAUGUUUCCCUCCUUCGUCGGUAUCACCUACUACCGCGUUAGGGCACACCUAGCACCGCGUAUUGCCAUGUUACGCUUUGUGAUGCUUUGAUUGCUCUGUUAUUUAUUGUGUUCCCUCUCCGUUACUUCUUUCCGAUAGACCCCGAGACUGCUGGCGACCCCCAGUUCUACUACGAUGUUGACGACCCCUCCUUCUUGCCAGAGCAACCAGGCAAGCCCUCCCCUUGAUCACCAGAUAUCGCCUAUUCUUCUCUAUACUGCUUGCAUUAGAGUAGUGUAGCAUGUUACUGUUCGGUUACUCCUAUUCUGUUGCAUAGCUUGUCAUUGUUGCUACAGUCAUUGAUACCUUACCCGCAAUCCUAAAUGCUUAGUAUAGGAUGCUAGUUUAUCAUCAUUGGCCCUACAUUCUUGUCAGUCUGCCUUGCUAUACUAUUGGGCCGUGAUCACUUGGGAGGUGAUCACGGGUAUAUACUAUACAUAUAUACAUACUAUACAGAUGGUGACUAAAGUCGGGUCAGCUCGUUGAGUACCCGCAAGUGAUUCCGAUGUGGGGGCUGGAAGGACAGGUGGCUCCAUCCCGGUAGAGGUGGGCCUGGGUUCCCGAUGGCCCCUGACUGUUACUUUGUGGUGGAGCGACAGGACAGUUUGAGACCACCUAGGAGAGAGGUGGGCCUGGCCCUGGUCGGCGUCCGCGGUUACUUCAUAAUAACAUGCUUAACGAGAUCUUGGUAUUUGAUCUGAGUCUGGCAACUGGCCUAUACGCACUAACCAACUACGCGGGAAAGAUAUGGGCACUCGACGUCGUGGUAUCAGCCGAAGCCUUCUUGACGUCAGCGACUGAGCGGCGCGCGCUGGAUUGGACCUAACGUGACUUCCUUUGUAAUGGAGGUUACUAGGUCUGCUUCCGGCCGCCCUCGCAACGUGCAGGUGUGCAAUGGGCAAUGGGCCCAGACCCCUGCGCGCAUAGGAUUUAGACCGGCGUGCUGACCUCUCUGUUGUGCCUAGGUGGGGCUGCGACGUGUUGAUCUUCCGAGGCCGGGCAUGACCCAGGAAAGUGUGUCCGGCCAAAUGGGAUCGAACGUGUUGGGUUAUGUGGUGCACCCCUGCAGGGAAGUUUAUCUAUUCGAAUAGCCGUGUCCCUCGGUAAAAGGACGACCCGGAGUUGUACCUUGACCUUAUGACAACUAGAACCGGAUACUUAAUAAAACACACCCUUCCAAGUGCCAGAUACAACCCGGUGAUCUCUUUCUCACGGGGCGACGAGGGGAGGAUCGCCGGGUAGGAUUAUGCUAUGCGAUGCUACUUGGAGGACUUCAAUCUACUCUCUUCUACAUGCUGCAAGACGGAGGCUGCCAGAAGCGUAGUCUUCGACAAGAUUAGCUAUCCCCCUCUUAUUCUGGCAUUCUGCAGUUCAGUCCACUGAUAUGGCCCUUUACACAUAUACCCAUGCAUAUGUAGUGUAGCUCCUUGCUUGCGAGUACUUUGGAUGAGUACUCACGGUUGCUUUGCUCCCUCUUUUCCCAUGUUUUCCUCUUCUUCUCGGAUGCCGCAACCAGACGUUGGAGCCCAGGAGCCAGACGCCACCGUCGACGACGACUCCUACUACACCGGAGGAGCCUUCUACUACGUGCAGGCUACUGACGACGACCAGGAGUAGUUAGGAGGAUCCCAGGCAGGAGGCUUGCGCCUCUUUCGAUCUGUAUCCCAGUUUGUGCUAGCCUUCUUAAGGCAAACUUGUUUAACUUAUGUCUGUACUGAGAUAUUGUUGCUUCCGCUGACUCGUCUAUGAUCGAGCACUUGUAUUCGAGCCCUCGAGGCCCCUGGCUUGUAUUAUGAUGCUUGUAUGACUUAUUUAUGUUUUAGAGUUGUGUUGUGAUAUCUUCCCGUGAGUCCCUGAUCUUGAUCGUACACAUUUGCGUGCAUGAUUAGUGUAUGAUUGAAUCGGGGGCGUCACAAUCCUUGAGAAGCCCAGAAAAUAAACGGAUAACCUUUAAUAGUAGAAGAACCCGAGCGAAAUCAAACCAAGCCUCAGUAGCCACUUUGGACAAAAAGGAGGCUAAAUAUGUACCCGUGGUACAAGAAUUUUUGGAGUAUUUCCGGAAGAAUUACCCGGGAUGCCACCAGACAGGGAGAUAGAGUUCACUAUUGAUAUCAUCCCAGGUACGGCACCCAUAUCAAAACGAGCAUACCAUUUGUCCGCGGAAGAACUAAAGGAAUUAGGAAAACAAUUGGAUGAACAAGAAGAAAAGGAGUUUAUUAGACCAAGUGUGUCACCUUGGGCAGCACCAGUCUUAUUCAUUAAGAAAAAGUAUGAGGCUAUGUGUGGAUUAUCGAGCCUUGAAUGAGGCGACCAUUAAGAAUAAGUACCCACUACCACGGAUAGAUGAUCUAUUUGACCAAUUGAAAGGAGCCACCGUGUUAUCAAAAAUAGAUCUUUGGUCUGGGUACCACCAACUAAAAGUAAAGGAAGAAGAUAUACCUAAGACUGCUUUCAUAACCCGAUAUGGUCACCAUGAAUUCAUGGUUGUUUCCUUUGGGCUAACAAAUGCACCAGCAAUUUUCAUGAACCUGAUGAACCUAGUCCUCGUGCCCUAUUUAGAUAAUUUGUGGUAGUGUUCAUCGAUGACAUCCUCAUAUACUCUCGAAGUAUUGAGGAACAUGUUGAACACCUCCGAAUAGUGCUACAGACCUUGAGAGAAAAACAACUCUAUGCCAAAUUCAAAAAGUGUGAAUUUUGGCUAGAAGAAGUGUCCUUCUUAGGACACAUUAUAUCAGCGAAAGGGAUAGCAGUAGAUCCUGCUAAAGUGGAUGCAGUGUUGGCAUGGAAAUCCCCAAGCAACGUAACAGAGAUUCGUAGCUUCCUUGGUUUAGCUGGAUAUUAUCGAAGGUUCAUAGAAGGCUUCUCCCAGAAAGCAGCCCCUAUGAACAAAUUACUAAGGAAGGGAGUUCCAUUUGACUGGAAUGACAAGUGUGAGCAAAGUUUCCAGGAGUUAAAGAAACGGCUCACAACCGCUCCUGUAUUGGCUCUACCCGAACCAGGCAAAGCAGUCACAGUAUAUUGUGAUGCCUCUAGAGUUGGUUUGGUAUGUGUGCUAAUGCAAUAUGGGAGAGCCAUAGCCUAUGCCUCUCGCCAGUUAAAGCCCCAUGAACAAAACUACCCCAACCAUGACCUCGAGUUAGUUGCCGUGGUAUUUGCGUUGAAGAUGUGGAGGCACUACCUUUAUGGAAACCGUUGUGAACUAUACACGAACCAUAAAAGCCUCAAGUAUAUCUUCACGCAAAAGGAGUUGAAUAGGAGACAAAGACGAUGGUUAGAACUCAUUAAGGAUUAUGACCUUAGUGUCAACUACCACCCAGGAAAAGCUAAUGUGGUGGCAGAUGCCCUUAGCCGAAAAACCUCAUGCAAUCAUGUCAAGAUGCCAACCUAUGAUAAGCAUAUGAUACCUGAGCAGAAGAUGAUGGGAAUUGAAUUCAUACAUAAACUGGUUGAGAAAAUCCUAACCGCAUUAGCAAUCAGACCCGAUUAGUUGGACAAAAUCAAGGAAAACCAGACCAAAGAUGAGUUUAUUUGUGAGGAAAAGCGCAGAAUACAAGAUGGUCAACCAUCAGAAUUCUGAAUAGCGGAAGAUGGAUCACUCUGGUAUUAAACCCGAGUAUGUGUGCCAAAUAUCUUGGAUAUUAAGCAGAUAAUACUCCAGGAGGCACACAACACUCCAUACACCAUACACCCUGGUAGCACAAAAAUGUACCGGGAUGUCAAGGGUACAUUUUGGUGGAGAAAUAUGAAAAGAGAAAUUGCUCAGUAUGUGGAUGAGUGUGACACUUGUAAGAGAGUCAAGGCAGAACACGAGUGACCACCAGGCUUAUUGCAACCUCUCCAAAUUCCACAAUGGAAAUGGGAGGAAAUCCACAUGGACUUUAUCACCGGACCGCCCAAAACAAGAAAACGAGAGGAUAUCAUAUGGGUCAUAGUUGACCGACUCACUAAAUCUGCCCAUUUUAUCCCUUUAGCCCCGGGUUGUUCCAGAGAAAAAUUGGUUGAGCUAUAUAUCCACAUGAUAGUAGCUCUACAUGGGAUACCUUCCAGAAUAGUGUCAGAUCGUGGAUCUAUGUUUACAUCCAAGUUCUGGGAAAAAUUACAAGAAGCAUUAGGAACAAAAUUGGAUUUUAGUACCGCUUACCACCCCCAUACUAGCGGUCAAGUCGAGAGGGUGAAUCAAAUCAGAGAGGACAUGCUAAGGGAUUGUGUGCUAGAUUUUGGUGACUCAUGGAGCAAGCACUUGCCCUUAGCAGAGUUCGCUUAUAACAAUAGCUACCAAGCUAGUAUUGGUAUGUCCCCAUUUGAGGCCUUAUACGGUCGAAGAUGCCGAACCCCAAUAUGUUGGGUGGAAACCGGAGAAAAGAAACUCUUAGCACCCGACUUGGUCCAAGAGACCGAGGAAAAAGUUUCCAUAAUUACAGAGCGGCUCAACACGGCGCAAAGCCGGCAAAAGAGUUACGCGGACAAGAGACGACGUGAUAUACAAUAUCAACCCGGAGACUUUGUUUAUUUAAAAGUCUCACCAAUUAAAGGUGUUAAGUGCUUUGGAUUACAAGGAAAACUAAGUCUGCGAUAUAUUGGUCCCUAUCGAAUCUCAAAAAGAAGAGGGACGGUGGCGUACAAAUUAGAAUUGCCAACGCACCUACAAGGGGUUCAUGACGUAUUUCAUGUUACCCAAUUACGCAAGAGUGUAAAUCCACCAUAUGAGAGAGUCUCGGAGGAAGAAUUAACCCUCCGAAAGGACCUAAUGUAUGAGGAGCAUCCUAGUCGUAUUCUGGACAUCGAGGAAAAAGAAACUCAGGAGUAAAACAACUAAAUAUUGCAAGGUGCAAUGGGGAAAGCAUCCAGUGCGAGAAGCGACUUGGGAAAAAAAGGAUGAGCUUCGAGAAAAAUACCCUUACCUUUUCAAGGUGCAACUUAAAUUUCGAGGGCGAAAUUUUCUCUAAGGGGGAUAGGAUGUAAGAACCGUCAAAAUUAGAUAACGAUAACUUUAACGGCGUUGCCCAAACAUUAAUUAAAAUAAUGGAAACACCUCACAUUUAAUUUUUAUUAUAGCAAAUAGCAUUUGACCAUGCACAACAAAAUAUUCUCCAAAUCUUCAUAUGUUCUACAAAUUUAUAAUCAUAUCUUGGUCUCAUUUCUUUCACAUAAAGUAAAUGCCAACUAAUGGCCAGCCAAGCAAAUUACACUUGUCCCUAGUACAGCCUACAAGAGACACAAGUGGAGGCAUGCAUGUAAGCCUAACCACACAUGCAUGCCAGAUGUAAUGCCUCUCCAAACCGACAUAGCUACUAACCCCACUACAAAUAGGAGCCGUUCCUUUCACUAUGGUCCAUUCCACCUCACACACACACACACUGGAGUACCCCCACCACUUGCCUUUUCACCUUCUGCCACACUGCUGUCCUUCACUGCGGUGAAGCCCUUUGGAUUGCAUGCACCACCAGGUACUAAUCAAGUACCUUGUUGUGUUACCCUUUUUGCUUGAAUUCUUAUGUAUCUUCAUCUCGGUUUGAAUCAGUCCAUGAGCAUCUAUUCACCUUGAUCUAUUUACCUUGCUGUAAAAAGAACAAAAUGUUUGCAUAAACACCCAAGUUAAUCAAAACUAAUUAGAUCAAUUGCAAAAGCUUGUAAAAGUUUCUGUGAAUGACAUCUACGGCUCGUACUAGAUCUAACAUGCCAAGAAUCAAAUCCUAAGUACUAGAUCUAACAUGCCAAGAAUCAAAUCCUAAGU